UGAAACACCUCUAUUUUGUUCCCUGUCUCUGCAGUGUUUCCCCAGUGCCAUUGCCAGCCAUGUCGUAGCAGAAUACCCCAACAAGUGUCUGGUGGAUAUGUUGAUUGCCAUCAGCAGUGUGACCUCCCCCCUGCUCUUCUCAGCCUCAGGCUUCCUCUCCUGCAGUGAGCUUAGUUUCAUUGACCCUGGAUGACACUGGGCCAAUUGUGCGCCUCCCUAUGGGACUCCCAAUCACGGCUGGUUGUGAUACAGCCUGGAUUCGAACCAGGUUGUCUGUAGAGACACCUCUGGCACUGAAAUGCAGUGUCUUAGACCGCUGCACAACUAGUGAGCCCAUGUGGUGGUAUUAACUCAGAUAUUGAGGGAAUCCAAUGUUUUGAGAAAGGGACAAUCAACAUGUUCAAAACGUGUAUACUUAAAGACGUCCUCCAGCGAUUGUUGAACUUUUACUGUUGAAAAGUGAUAUCCCAAGUUUUAUCAAAUGUGUGUUUUUUUGCCAGAGGAAAUAUAGAGGAGCAAUAGACUGGUGUAAUGCCAUGACUUACCUGGACCACCUAUUGACAUGUGCCUUUUGUUAAGUAAAUCAGGUGUUAAGUGAGGUGAAAAUUAGACUGGAGUGCCACUUUAAUGACUCUGUGGUUACAACUCAGAUGGUGUACCAAAACAAUAUGUAUGUGUGUGUCCCUAGCAAUCAUAUGACAUCCUGCUGCUGAUUCUGAUGGUGUUGCUGCUGGUGCAGGCUGUUCUGACUCUGGCCACCGUAGUGCACUGUGCCUCCUACAAGAGUCAGCUCCGCAUGGGGGCUCUAGAGUGGGAUGACAGCCAGCAGCUCCCAGCUCUACACUUAGAGCUUGCUCUCUCAGCAACAAGCAUCCAACGGAACACUGCGGGACUUUGACAAAGACAAGGCCUGGAAGGCGGUCGUGAUAGUGGCACACUGAACAGAGGAGGAGGAGAAAGGGGACAAAACAGAAAAGACAGACAGGGGAGAGGAAAUCAUAAAUAUCAGGAGUCAGUUUCACUGUGCGAUGGAAGACAAGGCGGAAAAGAGAUAGUAAGAUGAGAAAGUUGGGGCAAAGAGGAGGAUGACAAAAGAGUGAGGGAAUCGAGAGGAGGGAUACAGGAUGAAGUGUGUGAUGUUAUAAGCAU
rnacentral:lncRNA from 1 species